rnacentral:tmRNA from 1 species
AAAUGCCAAGAACACAGGCAUGGCUUUCAACUUUGGUUUCACCCCGGCCGCUUCUGCGGCUGCGGCGGCCUAAGUAAGCCACCGGCCCUCUGAAGAGGGCCACGGCCCGCCCCGGUGGGGCCAGCAGGCUGGGCGGUCGCCGACAUACACUGUGAGCUGCGGCAGCGGUACGCCGAUAGCGUUGUCUAAGAGAAUCGGCUAGUCGGAGAAGCGCCUCGUGUUGAUCCGAGGCCCGCCGAUGAAUCACAUAAAGAUCAACUAAGCUUGUAGACGUUUCAGGGCGGAUGUUUCGGACGCGGGUUCGAUUCCCGCCAUCUCCACCA